rnacentral:tRNA from 1 species
GCCGAAGUGGUGGAAUUGGCAGACGCGCCGGACUCAAAAUCCGGUGAUGGCGACAUCGUGUGGGUUCAAGUCCCACCUUCGGCACCA